UCCUUUAUUUAUCUGAUUUGGAUUGUCAUUUGAAUCAAUCGUCAGGUAUAAUGAGGGAUA
rfam:Pristionchus pacificus strain PS312 contig8822, whole genome shotgun sequence.